UCGUACCGCAAACCGACACUGGUGCGCGAGAUGAGUAUUCUAAGGCGCUUGAGAGAACUCUGGAGAAGGAACUCGGCAAGUUGACACCGUAACUUCGGAAGAAGGUGUGCCUUUAGUAGGUGAACCAUUUACUUGGGGAGCCCAAUGAGGCCGCAGAGAAUCGGUGGCUGCAACUGUUUAUUAAAAACACAGCACUCUGCAAAGACGAAAGUCGACGUAUAGGGUGUGACUCCUGCCCGGUGCUGGAAGAUUAAAUGAUGGGGUGCAAGCUCUUGACUGAAGUCCCAGUAAACGGCGGCCGUAACAAUAACGGUUCUAAGGUAGCGAAAUUCCUUGUCGGGUAAGUUCCGACCUGCACGAAUGGAGUAAUGAUGGCCACACUGUCUCCUCCAGAGACUCAGCGAAGUUGAAAUGUUUGUGAUGAUGCAAUCUCCCCGCGGAAAGACGGAAAGACCCCAUGAACCUUUACUGUAGCUCUACAUUGGACUUUGAACAGAUCUGUGUAGGAUAGGUGGGAGGCUUUGAAGAGUGGACGCUAGUUUGCUUGGAGCCAACGUUGAAAUACCACCCUGGUGUGUUUGAGGUUCUAACCUUGGUCCCUUAUCGGGAUUGGGGACAGUGUAUGGUGGGCAGUUUGACUGGGGCGGUCUCCUCCCAAAGUGUAACGGAGGAGUUCGAAGGUACGCUAAAUACGGUCGGAAAUCGUGUUGAUAGUGCAUUGGCAUAAGCGUGCUUGACUACGAGACUGACAAGUCGAGCAGGUACGAAAGUAGGACAAAGUGAUCCGGUGGUUCUGUAUGGAAGGGCCAUCGCUCAACGGAUAAAAGGUACUCUGGGGAUAACAGGCUGAUACCGCCCAAGAGUUCAUAUCGACGGCGGUGUUUGGCACCUCGAUGUCGGCUCAUCUCAUCCUGGGGCUGUAGCCGGUCCCAAGGGUAUGGCUGUUCGCCAUUUAAAGAGGUACGUGAGCUGGGUUUAAAACGUCGUGAGACAGUUUGGUCCCUAUCUUCCGUGGGCGCUGCAAGAUUGAGAGAGCCUGCUCCUAGUACGAGAGGACCGGAGUGGACGCACCUCUGGUGUAUCGGUUGUCACGCCAGUGGCAUCGCCGAGUAGCUAAGUGCGGAAGAGAUAACCGCUGAAAGCAUCUAAGCGGGAAACUCGUCUCAAGAUGAGUCUUGCCGGGGCCUAGAGCCCCCUGAAGGGUCGUUCGAGACCAGGACGUUGAUAGGCUGGGUGUGGAAGCGCGGUAACGCGUUAAGCUAACCAGUACUAAUUGCCCGUGAGGCUUGACCC
rnacentral:rRNA from 1 species